rnacentral:rRNA from 1 species
AGAAAGCUAUAGAGAUAUAGCCCCCCCUUGUGGUUGGUGUACAGGUGGUGCAUGGCUGUCGUCAGCUCGUGUCGUGAGAUGUUGGGUUAAGUCCCGCAACGAGCGCAACCCUUAUCUUAUGUUGCCAGCGCGUUAUGGCGGGGACUCGUGAGAGACUGCCGGGGUCAACUCGGAGGAAGGUGGGGACGACGUCAAGUCAUCAUGCCCCUUAUGUCCAGGGCUUCACACAUGCUACAAUGGCCGGUACAGAGGGCUGCGAUACCGUGAGGUGGAGCGAAUCCCUUAAAGCCGGUCUCAGUUCGGAUCGGGGUCUGCAACUCGACCCCGUGAAGUUGGAGUCGCUAGUAAUCGCAGAUCAGCAACGCUGCGGUGAAUACGUUCCCGGGCCUUGUACACACCG